rnacentral:piRNA from 1 species
UGAAGAGCAUGGUAACCUUUGAAGAU